GGAGCGACACAUCCAGCGGCUUGAUAAACAAAUGAUUAUUGUUGAGCGCCACGUCACCGCUGGCCUUCACCAGCCCGCCAUUGAGCGGGAUGUCGAGAUGCAGGUUGCCCUGAACUUCCCCGCCAAUCUGAAUCUGUGUUAGCGCACCGCCUAGCGAGAUUUUCAGCGGCGUUUGGUCGAAGUAAUCGCUCACUUCUUUACCGCUUCCGCUGAUGUCGCCGUCAAUCAGCAGCGUCUCUUUGCUGUAGUCUGGGAUAACGGCAUUGACGUUGCGCCCUUCGGCGUCACCCAGCAUGACAUGCGGCGCCGACAUCCACAGGCCGUUGUUAAGGAAAUUCAGCGAGAUAUUCAGAUUAUCCAGCGCCGGCCAACCGGGUUGGAAUUCGAAACGCGAUUUUUCCAGCGGCACC
rnacentral:ncRNA from 1 species